GCGCCUGUAGCUCAACUGGAUAGAGUGUCGGCCUCCGAAGCCGAAGGUUGUGGGUUCGAUCCCCGCCAGGCGCACCA
rnacentral:tRNA from 1 species